UGGCUCCGGCUUAGGAUUAGGAUUUGGCUUGGGGUUAGGACUUGGCUCAGGUUUGGGUUCAGGCUUUGGCUCCGGCUUAGGAUUUGGGCUCGGCUCCGGUUGUGGCUUAGGCUUUGGAUUUGGUUUUGGGUCAGCUUUGGGGCUAGGUUGCGGGUUCGGUUGAGGAUCUUGUUUCGGGUCAGGCUGUGGCGUUGGUUUUGGGUCAGGCUGUGGGUUCGGCUGAGGAUCUUGUUUUGGGUUAGGUUGCGGCGUUGGUUUUGGGUCAGGUUGUGGGUUCGGUUGAGGAUCUUGUUUUGGGUCAGGCUGUGGUGUAGGUUUCGGGUCAGGCUGCGGAGAUGGUUUUGGAUCCGGUUGUGGGUUUGGUUUAGGAUCUUGUUUUGGUUCAGGCUGUGGUGUAGGUUUUGGGUCAGGCUGCGGUGAUGGUUUUGGAUCUGGCUGUGGGUUAGGUUGAGGGUUAGGCUGUGGACUGGGCUUUGUCUCUGGUUGUGGUUUUGGUGUUGGGUCAGGUUUAGGAUUGGGAUCUGCUGGCUUUGGAUCAGAUUUAGCUUCAAUCACGC
rnacentral:lncRNA from 1 species